CCUACGGGUGGCAGCAGUGGGGAAUAUUGGUCAAUGGGCGAAAGCCUGACCCAGCAACGCCGCGUGAAGGAAGAAGGCUUUCGGGUUGUAAACUUCUUUUGACAGGGAAGAGCAGAAGACGGUACCUGUCGAAUAAGCCACGGCUAACUACGGGCCAGCGGCCCCGGUAAUACGUAGGUGGCAAGCGUUUUCCGGAUUUACUGGGGGUAAAGGGCGUGUAGCCGGGCUGAGAAGUCCGAUGUGAAAUCCGGGGGCUAAACCCCCGAACUGCAUUUGAAACUGGUGGUCUUGAGUAUCGGAGAGGCAGGCGGAAUGCCUAGUGUAGCGGUGAAAUGCGUAGAUAUUAGGAGGAACACCAGUGGCGAAGGCGGUCUGCUGGACAGCAACUGACGCUGAGGCGCGAAAGCGUGGGGAGCAAACAGGAUUAGAUACCCGAGUAGUC
rnacentral:rRNA from 1 species